UGCCUUUAUGGUGUUACCCACCCAUACACCCA
rnacentral:piRNA from 1 species